GACGAACGCUGGCGGCGUGCUUAACACAUGCAAGUCGAACGGAAAGGCCCUGCUUUUGUGGGGUGCUCGAGUGGCGAACGGGUGAGUAACACGUGAGUAACCUGCCCUUGACUUUGGGAUAACUUCAGGAAACUGGGGCUAAUACCGGAUAGGAGCUCCUGCUGCAUGGUGGGGGUUGGAAAGUUUCUGCGGUUGGGGAUGGACUCGCGGCUUAUCAGCUUGUUGGUGGGGUAGUGGCUUACCAAGGCUUUGACGGGUAGCCGGCCUGAGAGGGUGACCGGCCACAUCGAGACUGGGAUACGGCCCAGAAGCAACGGGAGGCAGCAGUGGAGAAUAUUGCACAACAGGCGGAAGACUGAUGCAGCAACGCCGCGUGCGGGAUAACGGCCUUCGGGUUGUAAACCGCUUUCGCCUGUGACGAAGCGUGAGUGACGGUAAUGGGUAAAGAAGCACCGGCUAACUACGUG
rnacentral:rRNA from 1 species